rnacentral:misc_RNA from 1 species
GAUGAAGAACGUAGUGAAAUGCGAUAAGUAAUGUGAAUUGCAGAAUUCAGUGAAUCAUCGAAUCUUUGAACGCACAUUGCGCCCGUCAGUAUUCUGGCGGGCAUGCCUGUUCGAGCGUCAUUACGCCCCUCAAGUCCCCUGUGGACUUGGUGUUGGGGAUCGGCGAGGCUGGUUUUCCAGCACAGCCGUCCCUUAAAUUAAUUGGCGGUCUCGCCGUGGCCCUCCUCUGCGCAGUAGUAAAACACUCGCAACAGGAGCCCGGCGCGGUCCACUGCCGUAAAACCCCCCAACUUUUUAUAGUUGACCUCGAAUCAGGUAGGACUACCCGCCGAACUUAAGCAUAUCAAUAAGCGGAGGA